AGGUGUUGACAGGGGACCAAAUGCCCCAGAUUGAUGACAUCACGCACUCAGUGAUUGAUUUUGGCCUACAAGGCUAUACGGGUACUCCCCUUCGCGUCUAGGGCUCGUCCUAAGAAAAAGAAUUCCUCGAAGACGCCAAAAUGUGGGAAGAAGGUAGAACACAUUUUUAGUUGUACAAUUGUUUGAAAAUGUUGAAAACAAGUAUUAAUUGGGGUUUGUAGAUUAAUUAGUGUUUUUUGUCUAUUUUACAUGUACAACGAUCAUUGAGCUAUGUGGAUUUGUUGAAUGUACCUAAUUCGCUCAUGGAUCAAGAGAGGGCGGAGGAAAUAUCCAUACCUAUUUCAUCAAUGGCAAACCCUCCGUGCACUGGAGAAGCAUCUUAGGAUCCGAUACACUUUUGUUUGAUAUGUAAAAUUAAUUGUUUUUAACCUACAAUACUUAUCAUUAUAUUAAUUGUAUUUAAUCUUUGAACAUUUUUUGUAUAGGUAAUAGCGACAGUUUCUCUAUCGAUGGUGAGCCAUCCUCAGUCCAUUGGAGAAGCAUCUCAGGCACAACCAUCUACAAAGCCGCAUGCUUGAUUUUGAUGAUCCACCACAAGUUUAUAUUAGUCUUGGUCAUAAAAUGACCAAUACAUGUAGAUAUAUUCUACAUUUUUAUUGUAUAUCGAUUUGGACAUGGCAUAUGCCACAUUUUUGUAAUACUUGUAUUGACUUGGCAGACAUGCCUUUUAUAUAUAUAAAUG